ACCCAAAAUAGCAUUCAGCAUUUCCUAGUUUUAAUUAUUAAGUAAAUUUAUGGAGAAAAAAUAUGCUAAAGUAAGCAAAUAACAUAUCUAUGAACAUUGUGAAUAUGUAGAAAUACAAUAAAUAAAAUGUAAACGAAUUUCUUACAGCAUAAUUAUGAAAAGCAGCAUAAUGUAAAGGAGUUGCACCAGAGUCAUCAGCACUAGUGUAAAGGCUCUUUUU